UUGGAGGGCAAGUCUGGUGCCAGCAGCCGCGGUAAUUCCAGCUCCAAUAGCGUAUAUUAAAGUUGUUGCAGUUAAAAAGCUCGUAGUUGAAUUUCGGGAUUAGUACGUCGGUCGUGCCUUAGGUACGUACUGGUGUUACUGGUUCCUACCUUCUGACGAACCAUCAUGUCAUUAAUUUGGUGUGGUGGGGAAUCAGGACUGUUACUUUGAAAAAUUAGAGUGUUUAAAGCAGGCUCGCGCUUGAAUACAUUAGCAUGGAAUAAUGAAAUAGGACG
rnacentral:rRNA from 1 species